rnacentral:rRNA from 1 species
UACGGGGGGGGCAAGCGUUGUUCGGAAUUACUGGGCGUAAAGGGCUCGUAGGCGGCCAACUAAGUCGGAUGUGAAAUCCCCAGGCUUAACCUGGGAACUGCAUCCGAUACUGGAUGGCUUGAAUUCGGGAGAGGGAUGCAGAAUUCCAGGUGUAGCGGUGAAAUGCGUAGAUAUCUGGAGGAACACCGGUGGCGAAGGCGACAUCCUGGACCGGUAUUGACGCUGAGGCGCGAAAGCCAGGGGAGCAAACGGG